CUAUCUAUUUCAUGUUCAGAGUAUUUAUUUCUGUCAUUCCACAGACUGGCUUGAACUGGCUAGCUGGUAUAUUAAAAACUGUCUACGUUAUUUUUUAUGGAGAUAUAUCCAUUAUUCAAGCUAUGUUGGUCAAAUUUUGUAUUUUCAUUUGAAUUAUUCGUGCAUAUAUAUUCUGAUUAUGCCCAUGUUUUUUUUUUCAGAUUUAAUCAUAUGAAUAAAUAAUUUCUCCGAAGAAAGUAGACAGUAGUUAAAGACUCGAAGAAAAGUUCAGCACCUGGAAUAUUGUAUAGAUGAGUUACAGUUUAAAUUUGACUCCUCAGCGUCUCUUCAAGGAAGCAUGUGCGAUAGCCUGGACACACCAUCAAUAUUUCUUAUCCUUGGUUAUGGUGACCUGGUGCUUGUCACAUUGAUGGCUUCAUGGUUCAAAUGCAUCUGAACAAUGAUGAAGAAACUCUUGCCAUUGAGUAAGUCUCAAUGGCAAAAUCUGGUGGAGAUGGAGCUCAAACUUAUUCAGAAGUUGAUAUGUUUGAUCCUUUUCUUGGGAAGUCUGAUCGCUCUGACAGCAAACUAGAUGCAAGUGGCAACCCAUGAUUUGCUUUACGCAUUUAGGAUUUCAUCGACAACAAACUAGAUUCUCCUCACCAAGCUGCUGCUGGUGGGGCCAGAGGCCAGCAAGGUGUAUUGCUGGGGCGGCAGGGAGAAGGAAGCUGGCCGGUGAGGUGCUGGGUGGAGGAGAUCCUGGCGACAAGGUUAUGGGCGAGGAAUCCUGGCAGGGCGAGGAGAUACUGGCCGGCAAGGUUGUAGCAAUUGUUAUGCAGACUAGCCCGGAGUCUGGUUUUUGUACAGGUAGUGUCCAUCCUGGUUCUGGUGAUUUGAUUUGGGCAACUCUUCAAGUUUGGUUCUCAUAUAUUGGUCCUGAGACCUGACAUUGGGAUGUGCCAUAUCUCAUCCCUUCCUUCUUUAAUUUUCCUGUGUUUAGACUGAUUGACUGUGUAUACUAUGUAUGUUAGUUCCUUUAUAAUUCAUGCCGUGAUAUUUUUUGUUGUUGUGACAGGUUACUUAUAACAAUAGUCUAAUGUGGAAAAAAGCAUAAUCGGGGUUGGGCGGCAAAGCCUUGAUAUCUGCUGGUUUAUCCAUAGGGGUGCACAGACAAAUAAAUGUCCGUACAAUUUAUUUUUCUACUAUGUUACCUAUAGGGUAAGCCCGAUAAUUUUUUUGCAGUACUGUGUUUAACUUCUGGAGAAUUAUAUCUGAAGCAAAUCAUUUUAACGAAAUUAUUUUAAGACCAUAACCUCCCAAUUUUCAGUACUAUUUUUUUGUCAGUAUCUCGCUACGUGGAUCCAUCAGACCAUUUAAAACAUGUUACCGUUAGUGUCCAGUAUAUAGAACUCCCUCCACCCAUAGGAAAGGCUUGCUAUCAAAUUUGCCCACCUAGAUUCAGUAAAGAUGGGCAUAGGUGUGUUCGUACUUGAUACGUUUAGAUGAGUGGGUACUGAAAAUAUGGAAUGACAUUCAUCAGCUGUUAUAAUUAGAAGGAUAUACACUUCAGGCCCAACAUUAAAGCAGCUUC